UGGGGAAUAUUGCACAAUGGACGCAAGUCUGAUGCAGCAACGCCGCGUGGAGGAUGACACAUUUCGGUGCGUAAACUCCUUUUAUAUAAGAAGAUAAUGACGGUAUUAUAUGAAUAAGCACCGGCUAACUCCGUGCCAGCAGCCGCGGUAAUACGGAGGGUGCAAGCGUUAUUCGGAAUCACUGGGCGUAAAGGGUGCGUAGGCGGUUUGGAAAGUCUGAUGUGAAAGCCUACAGCUUAACUGUAGAACUGCAUUGGAAACUUCCAGACUAGAAUACUGAAGGGGCAGAUGGAAUUAGUGGUGUAGGGGUAAAAUCCGUAGAUAUCACUAGGAAUACCGAAAGCGAAAGCGAUCUGCUGGGAAGUUAUUGACGCUGAGGCACGAAAGCGUGGGGAGCAAACG
rnacentral:rRNA from 1 species